rnacentral:antisense_RNA from 1 species
UUAUUUUUAAUUUGCUCAAAGGAUAUGUCUUGAUAUUGGUUGACCUUAAGUG